rnacentral:rRNA from 1 species
AGUCACUGACAUUAGAUACCCCCGUAGUCCAGGGUGUAAACGCUGCAGACUUGGUGUUGGGGCCCUUUGGGGCAUUCAGUGCCGGAGAGAAGUUGUUAAGUCUGCUACUUGGGGAGUACGUCCGCAAGGAUGAAACUUAAAGGAAUUGGCGGGGGAGCACCGCAACGGGAGGAGCGUGCGGUUUAAUUGGAUUCAACACCGUAAACUCACCAGGGAAGACUGUUACAUGAAGGCCGAGAUGAAGACUCUGCUAGAUUUUCAG